CAAACUCUGGUCCGUUUUAAAGUGGACCAAACAGUUCUGGUGUGAAAGGGUCCUUAAAGCAGAACUGGUGCAGGAUGUUUAGAACUUCAGAGUCAUUGUGAAGGUUAAAUGUCUUAUUGUGGGGAAAUUGGGGGGCUGUCUCCACUGCUGGAUGGAUAAUGGAUGGAUGAAUGGAUGGAUAAUAAGAUGAAAAACCAACCAGACGUGCAAAGUUCUGUUCCCUUUGAAACUUUUCUUGACUGAACCAUUGCUAAUCAUGAUCGAGACAUUUGUUCUCUUUUCCACCCCAGGGAACCACAGGCCCCGCCCAGAUUUAUGAAGAGUCCUGCAGCGUUUUCUUCAUGUCAAUCAUCAACUUGCUCUUCAACAUCCUCAUGGGCUUCUUCUUUGCGUGCGCAGUCACCGCACUUCUGGGUCUGCUGAUCUCCCUGCUGAUGAUCCACCAGGUGAGACGCCACGACAACGCCGGCGCGGCGUCCAUCGCCAUGAAGGGCUAUUAAAGGCAAACCACCUUUCGACCCCCUCCCCCCCCCCGACCUUUAACCUCCGCACUGUAAUUAGGGGACUCGGUGGUCAAAUUCAUGUCGUCGUAGUUGUUACUAUCUUAAAUGUAAUAAAUCCUGUCCUGUAUGAAGAACGAUGUAGAGGAGGAUGCCGGAGACGGAGCAGAGCGAAGCGCCGAGAGGAAAAUGAUUGUUUUCUUGUAGAAAUUCUGAAUAGCAAACAUAUAUUUUUUUGUGAAGUAUAUACUUUAUCUUUUUUUGUGUUAUUUGAAUGUAAGACGUAUCAUAGAAAUAUCAAGCUUCACACUUCAUAUAUGACUGAAGCUCUUUUAUCCCGAGGAGGUCACAACUGCCACUUUGUUUUUAUUAGCGCGUUCCCGUCGCCACAAACAUCGCAGGAUAAAUAUCAGAACUGGGAAUGACGUCACCCCCCCAUUGCCAUCUAGUUGUCUAAUUUAGUCACUUUAAUAAACGUGUUCAUUGGUUAUUUGAUAUAUAAAAACAGACAUUUCUGCGUGUAAAAACAACAGCUUUAACUCCGCUGAUUCAGCCACCUUGAAUCGCAAACUCGGGGGGAAUGAGGAGUUCAAACAAUUUGAUGAAUCAGUGAGUCAUCUUGUAACUGUGAAACCAUCCAUGACCUCAGAAUGCAGCAGAAACUGUUAGCUUAACACAAAAAAUGAGGUAGCCCGUACCCAGCUAGAUUUGUGGAGACACCAACAAGCUACGAGCGACUCGUCCUGAAUUAUCCAAAUAAAGGCCCUGGUACACUUACACAUCAGGUGUGGAAUGGGUAACGCAGCCCAGAAUUUUGGAACUGCGUGCAAGGAAACGCGUUGGUUGUGCGUGGACGUCGCUUAACAACUUAUAAGCAAUAGCGAGCUACCGUCCCAAAAUUUAGUAUUAACUUUAAAUUCCAAAGGAGAGUUCCAAUGAGUUGAAACCAUCUGGAAUGCCAACUGUAGGGGGCGCUCCGAGUGACACCACCCAGUAGAAUUCUCGACAAUCUCAACGUUAAUUCAGAACACCACGUUUGUCGACCUCCUCGGGUUAAAAUGAUCACAUGAGAAGAGUCACCUAUAUAUGUAAAUAUAUGUAUACGUCUCUGUAAAACCACUUAAGACAUUUACAGUUCCCAUAAGAUGAAGGCCACCGUUUUCACAGUCAGGAACUUUUCUGUUUGAUUUCUUCUGUAGAGAGCGGGUAACGUUGGAAUUAAUCCCAGCAACAUCUGCGGCACUGACAACAACCAAAGUUAGCAUCUCAUCUGUGUUGAAAGUACAAUUUUCCACAAUUUGUAAUCGUAGUGUAAACGUCUCCAGACUUAUACUGAGGAUGAAGCCAUGUGACCGAAACCAAAAUAAAAACAACAUAAAACAUCGA